rnacentral:rRNA from 1 species
GUCCACGCCCUAAACUAUGUCAACUGGUUGUCGGGGAAGCAAUUCCUUGGUAACGAAGCUAACGCGUGAAGUUGACCGCCUGGGGAGUACGGCCGCAAGGUUAAAACUCAAAGGAAUUGACGGGGACCCGCACAAGCGGUGGAUUAUGUGGAUUAAUUCGAUGCAACGCGAAAAACCUUACCUACCCUUGACAUGUACGGAAUCUCGCAGAGAUGUGAGAGUGCCCGAAAGGGAACCGUAACACAGGUGCUGCAUGGCUGUCGU